ACCUACGGGGGGCAGCAGUGGGGAAUUUUGGACAAUGGGCGCAAGCCUGAUCCAGCCAUUCCGCGUGAGUGAAGAAGGCCUUCGGGUUGUAAAGCUCUUUCGCAAGGGAAGAAAACUUACCCUCUAACAUAGGGUGAGGUUGACGGUACCUUGAUAAGAAGCACCGGCUAACUACGUGCCAGCAGCCGCGGUAAUACGUAGGGUGCGAGCGUUAAUCGGAAUUACUGGGCGUAAAGCGUGCGCAGGCGGUUUUGAAAGUCAGAUGUGAAAUCCCCGAGCUCAACUUGGGAACUGCGUUUGAAACUCCAAAACUCGAAUAUGUCAGAGGGGGGUAGAAUUCCACGUGUAGCAGUGAAAUGCGUAGAGAUGUGGAGGAAUACCAAUGGCGAAGGCAGCCCCCUGGGAUAAUAUUGACGCUCAUGCACGAAAGCGUGGGGAGCAAACAGGAUUAGAUACCCUGGUAGG
rnacentral:rRNA from 1 species